rnacentral:rRNA from 1 species
GACGAACGCUGGCGGCGUGCUUAACACAUGCGAGUCGAACGGAAAGGCCCUGCUUGCCGGGUACUCGAGUGGCGAACGGGUGAGUAACACGUGGGUGAUCUGCCCUGCACUUCGGGAUAAGCCUGGGAAACUGGGUCUAAUACCGGAUAGGAGCCAUUUUUAGUGUGAUGGUUGGAAAGUUUUUUCGGUGUAGGAUGAGCUCGCGGCCUAUCAGCUUGUUGGUGGGGUAAUGGCCUACCAAGGCGGCGACGGGUAGCCGGCCUGAGAGGGUGGACGGCCACAUUGGGACUGAGAUACGGCCCAGACUCCUACGGGAGGCAGCAGUGGGGAAUAUUGCACAAUGGGCGCAAGCCUGAUGCAGCGACGCCGCGUGGGGGAUGACGGCCUUCGGGUUGUAAACGCCUUUCGCUAGGGACGAAGCUUUUUGUGACGGUACCUAGAUAAGAAGCACCGGCUAACUACGUG